GGAGAAAUGGCAGAGUGGUCUAAUGCACCGGUUUACUAAACCGACAAGGGUUAAAAUCCUUCAUAGGUUCGAAUCCUAUUUUCUCCG
rnacentral:tRNA from 1 species